UUCUCUCUUCCUCUAGAAAACCUAGCUUUGUUUGUGUGUAAGGGGCUCUCUCUCUCUCUCUCUGCAGAAAACCUAGCUUUGUUUGUGUGUAAGGAAUAAUCUACGUAAUCCCCACUAAUUACUAUUUUCAAUUCUGUUAAAAUCUCCAUCUCUCUAUGUCCCUCUAGAAAACCUAGCUUUGUUUGUGUGUAAGGCUCUCUCUCUCUCUCUGCAGUCUGCAGAAAACCUAGCUUUGUUUGUGUGUAAGGGAUAAUCUACAUAAUCCCCACUAAUUACUAUUUUCAAUUCUGUCCUCCGAAUUCUCAGGGAAGGACUCUCCGGCCAUUAUAAGUACGGAUCUUCCCCAGAGCCCAAAAAUCAAAAAAAACCCUAAUUCAUCACUCGCCACCCACCUUGCUUCUCUCUCCCCUUUCUUUGUGGUUGAGAGUUUCUGAGGUUGGAUUUCGAUUCAGGAUGACUAUACCCAUCACUCAACCCGAGUUUGGAGUUGAAAUUGAGGCUGAGGAGAAGAAGAUCCCAGCCAACGAAAGUGAAAUGACUUUGGAUGGUGGGAUUUUGGUCCCGGAGACCAAUUCAUCUGGCCAGAACUUCAGGUUUUA